rnacentral:rRNA from 1 species
UUUUUUAUAAAAAUAAUUUAUUUGUUUAUAGUUUUAGUAUUAAUUAAAAAUUAAUUUGUAGAUUUAUAGUUUAAUAGUAUUGUAAAAGAAAUUGUUAAAUUUUAAAAAGAAUUUUUAGUACCUUUUGUAUCAGGGUUGAUUAAAAUUUUUAAUUUUUUUUUAAUUUCUCAAAAUUUAUAGAGUUAAUUUUAUUAUUAAUUUAUUGUUUUAUAAAUAUUUAAAAAAUAAUAUUGGUUUUGAAAUUUAAUUCGUUAUAUUAUAUUUAGUUAUUUAAGAUUUAAAUUUAAUUUAAAAUUUUAAAAGUUAUAUUAAUUUUAUUGAUUAAUAUUUUAAAUUUAAAUUAUUUUAGGGAUAAGCUUGAAAUUUUUAUAUAAUAAUUUAUUUAUAUUAAUAAUUUAUAGGAAUAGAAAUUUUUAUUUUAAGUUUGUAAAAAUUUAUUAUUUGUUUAAUUUUAAUUUAUUAUAUUAUUAUUUAUUUUUUUUAUUAAAUUUUAUUAAUUAAUAUUUAAUUAAUAGUAAUAAUGAUUAAAUUAGUAUAAUAUAUAUAUAUUUAUAAAUUAUGAAUUCGGCAAAAAUUAUUUUCAUCUGUUUAACAAAAACAUUGUAUUAAGUUUAAUUUAAUAUAGGAUCUGCUCAAUGAUUUAUUAAAUAGCUGCAGUAUUUUGACUGUGCAAAGGUAGCAUAAUAAUUAGUCUUUUAAUUGAGGACUUGAAUGAAAGAUUUGAUGAGAAAUAGACUUUAUUAUUUAUAAAAUUAAAAUUUUAUUUUUAAGUAAAAAAGCUUAAAUUAUUUAAAGGGACGAUAAGACCCUAUAAAACUUUAUAAAUUUUGAUUUUAAUUUUUUUUUGGAUUUAUAAAUAUUUUAUAAUUUAAAUUUAUUUUAUUGGGGUGAUAAAAAAAAUUGUUAAACUUUUUUUAAAAUUCUACAUUAUUUAAUGAAUAUUUGAAUUAAAAUUUUUAAUUAAAGGAAAAAGUUACUUUAGGGAUAACAGCGUAAUUAAUUUUUUAAGUUCAAAUUUAAAAAUUAGUUUGCGACCUCGAUGUUGAAUUAAGAUUAAUCUUAGGUGCAAAAUUUUAAGUAUUAGGUCUGUUCGACCUUUAAA